CAGUCGCCGCGGGAAUACGUAGGGUGCAAGCGUUAAUCGGAAUUACUGGGCGUAAAGCGUGCGCAGGCGGUUAUAUAAGACAGAUGUGAAAUCCCCGGGCUCAACCUGGGAACUGCAUUUGUGACUGUAUAGCUAGAGUACGGCAGAGGGGGAUGGAAUUCCGCGUGUAGCAGUGAAAUGCGUAGAUAUGCGGAGGAACACCGAUGGCGAAGGCAAUCCCCUGGGCCUGUACUGACGCUCAUGCACGAAAGCGUGGGGAGCAAACAGGAUUAGAUACCCCAGUAGUCCCUGUCUCUUAACA
rnacentral:rRNA from 1 species